GGUGGACUCGGAGGUGGCUGUGCGGCGGGGAGCUCCCGCGGAGUUGGACGCCAGUUCUUCGAUCCCGGGGCCCCAGCCGGACCCCCUCUGCGCUUCGAGGCUGCUCGAGGAGGGCCGGGCUUCGCAGCCUACAACCUGACGAGGGCGGGACGUGGGGGCAACUGUCGUGGACGUGGGUCUGGGACACGAGCUGGCCCCCCACGGUCCCUGUCCUCGCUUGGGAAGCGGCCGGCGCGGGGCAAGGCACGGAAGGGCCUCUCCUCGGCCUUUGGGAGGGAACCGAGUGCGCGGAUGACCGGGCCGAGAGGCGACCCUGGCCCGGGAGCCGAAGGCACCUCCCCGCCCCACCAGGGGAGGUCCCUCCGGAGCAGUGUGGCCUUUUCCCUGCCGAGGAGGGUUCGGGGUCUUGAGCGGUAGGUGCUGGAGUUUACUGCCCCAGAUAACAGCAUCUUCUGGAAGAGUAUUCCGUGGGAGGCGGAAAUGUGGCUGCGUUCAGGGACCGACGAUUCUGGGCAUCGGAUGAGUACGAGAUGGUAGUUAUGGGGCGGGGGUUGGGGGGACAGGUGGUCAUCACUACUGCAGCCCCUCUGUCUCAACAGCCGGCCUCGACCUUGAGAUCAUCUGAAGUGUCCGUGUGCGGACGGUGGUGGUCACGCCUGGCUGCUGUCCGAGCCCCCUCUUUAUUCCGGGCAGAAACCCUUCUUUGACGCGGUUCCUGGUGGAGACGUUGUGGCUUAACCGGCACUUAAUCCGUUGGCCCAGGGAAAUUUACCAGCACGGUACUGAGUCACAAACUUGGGUCAUACAAGCAACGAGUAGAGGGAAAGAAUCUUACCUCUUUUUAUCGAAUUUGAAGAACGCCGCGAUAUCUUUCUCGGUUUAAGCAGAGUUUUCUUCAGCAAAGGUGGAAUCCGUAUAAGGAUUUCCUGGCACUGUUAGGAGCUCGGUGAUGGAAUCUUAGUAUCUUUUCUGUCAGGAGUUAAUGUGGAAAUCCAGCGAUGUUCUUGAAAGCUCUAGUGAUUGGGGGAAAAAAUGACCUUUGUUCUGUUGCAGUAAUUACAACAACAGGUGGAGGAAUUGUAUGCCAGCUGCUCCUGAACCGGUUUACACGUGUGUUCCUUCAUCCUCACAACCCUGAGCGAGAGAUGCUUUUGUUAAAUCCAUUUUCACGCUGGCUCGACAGGAUUCCGGGAGGAACAGAAGCGCUCAUGGGUCUGUGACGACGAAAGCCAUAGGACAACGGCAGUUAAGCAAGAAGACAGAAGGUGGUUGGGAACUUCGUGACUUUCUUGAACAGUGGUGCCAGCUCUAGAUGAUUUACCUGAGGACUUCUUGAUAAAUGACAUACUUACCCCAGAGAAAAACUAGACUUUUCUGUUGCAGCGAGUCCUGUCCUAACUGACCACCCGGCGGAGUUUAAACGGAUAGAUCCCUUCAGGUUUGAAGUCUCUCACUUGGGAAGUACGCGUUUCUGCAAAGAACAACACGGAGCCAGCCUGCAAAUCGCGAAUUGUACUCGGGCGUCAAUACACUGCUGAGAGCCCUCUCUUCUAGGUAACUUCUCACCCGUCACCGUCUCCAGAACCUCCUGCCCCGUGCUCACCUCGGCCAGGACCUUCCGUCUCUUCCUCUGAGAAAAUAGAAGACGUUUUCCACACAGUCUCAUGACCUCAUCUAUGACCUCACGGUGAUGCCUUUCCAGCGGUGGUUUAGCAUGAAGACACCGAGCAGAGACAUGGUCCUCAGCUGUCAUUUCCUGGCCACCUCCUUGGUGUGGUGGUCUUUCCUGGUGUCCUGGGUGGAAAUAGAGCUGCCUGGAAAUAGAGCCUUGUCAGCACGCCCUUCGAAGCCUGGGCGCCCGGCACAAGCCAGUGGAGCCGUGAAGUGUCAGCACAGGCUGAUCAGAAGGUCUGUCUCUCCACCGUCUCGGGUUGGCGCGGGCUCUUGCGUUCCUCUCGGUAUCUACGCACUAUCUGCAAACUUUGGAAGUGGCUCGGGGACCUGGUCCGCCAGAAAUCACCAGAAGUGUCCGUCCUUCAUGCACCUGUCCGGCUCGGCCAUCUUUCUCCUGUCUGUUCGGUUUCGCAGUAUAAACCCCGGAAGUGGGAUCGAGAACCCGCUCUGCACCAAACGCACUUCGGACAAGGGGUAGAAUGCAGAAUACGGGGAAGAAUUACUUCCUUUCUUGACAGCAGAGUGUACAACGUAACACGUAGGACCAGCUGCACACUUUGUGAGGCCCAGGGCAAAAUGCAGCUGUGGGGUCUCUUGGCCGAAGGUCAUCAACCAUUUCAAGAAAGCGACGGCAGAGCAGGAGGCCCCUCUGGGUGCAGGGCCCUGCGUCUCCGUCCCAGUCACACAGCUGGACGCCGUCAGCUUGGACGUUGUGUCACGGGGUGGUCGCAAAACCACACCUUAGUCUCUGGGCCUGUUCCACUCCUUGGAAAUUAGAGACCGUCUCCACCGGAGUCAUCGGUAUGGCUGUUUUCUUAGGAGCCCUCUGCCUUCACAGUUCCCAGGGUUUGGGAGCUGUUUUAAAAUCUCAACCAGGAUUUGGAGUUUUAAAAUCUCAGCCAAGCCACAUGGACACCGUGUCGUCAGAAGACCCAAAACGGAGCCGGAAACCAGCAGAGAGAGUGAACUGAACGAAGAGGGCUCCCUACCCGCAGCUGGCGAUCUCUCAGCCACCCACCCCAAAGGCAGUGUCCCCGACUCUGCCCCUUGUUCUGUGCAGGUGUCUUUGUGGAGCCCUGGAUCAGAGGUGCGUUUCAUGGUGGAGGAAGCGAAGGGGUAGAAUUGCGUGUGAAGAAGCAGGCAGGCGGUCUUGUACUUUGGUUCCUCAAUUACACAGAUGCCUCUUCUCCAUUUUCUCUACAAAUGUGCACUUACUGGGCUGUUUCGUAACAGUAUUUCACUGU